rnacentral:lncRNA from 10 species
AGAGAAUUCACCUCAGUUUGUGGUGUCCCAGGCUAAGGGUCAAGAUCUGAUUGGGAAGUAAUUUUGCAAAAAAUUUGGAUUCAAAUUUAAAGAGUAUGCAUAACCAAUCAAAACCACUCAAAUAAAUGGUCAUGAAAAACACCCCUGCCCCCAUUCCAAAAAUGCACUCCCGACUCACACUAGUCCCUUGACCAGGGCGGCAGGAAGGAGUACUCCCAGUCAACCCACCUACCCCAUUCCUGGCCUCCACAGAGCCGUCAUGGGAAGAGCGUUUUCUCUCCCAGGGACCAAACUGACUGAAGCUUUCUAGCAGGUCCAGAGAACAGGAAAGACCUGUUUUCCAGGCCCAGGCCUGGAGAACGUAUCAUGGAGCCCAGGCCACAUGGGAAAAGCAGGGAGACCAGACACCAGUGACAAGCCCCCACCCCGAGGGCUGUGCUGGUGUCCUUUCAGCCUGCCUGCACCCACCUUCACUGGCCCUCAGACCCUGAACUGGCCACAGACCCCUGUCUGCAGUUGCUGAGUGGUUUCUCCACAGCUUAUUUCCUAGGGAAUCCUGGCUACCUUUUCUUUAACAAGAUGGCAGGAAGCAGGGCAAAGUCACUUUGGGUGCCAGUACCUGGGUCACAGACUCCCGCUGGCCCUAAUGGCUAGGCUCCAUUGCCACCAAGGAAGGAAGGGCCUGGGCAUACACAUCCCCAAAUAUCCCAGGAGGAAAUGGAUCCCGAGAAUGACGGCCAGGUUGGGUUCACCUGCUUAGUUCCUAGGUUGGCAAGAGAAGGAUGGUACCCAAGAUAGGCCGGGGCAGGGAGAAGCAGGGAUGGAUGGGAUCCCCACAGUGUGACAUAGCAUGGCUGUGAAUGAGGUGGGUGGGCGAGGGUGAGCCCCAGAAGCCAGGACAUCUGGACUCCAGCUAAGGGUGUGGAAACAGGCUAUGAAGAUCGCCAGGGAGAAGUGACUCAUAGUUGUCCCCACCUGACUACUCCGUUGACUGCACUCCUGGUGCUGGGAAAGGCCUCCCUGCCAUCCAGUCUUUCUCUCCUCUCUCCACUCUGCAGGAACAACUCCAGCCUCUACUUGAGGGGCAGCUCUUCUCCCCAAAAGAACCCACAGAGCCCCUGUGGGAAGCCGCUUUCCUCCCUUAAGCCCUGCGGGCCCUUCAGAACAGCUGUGUGGUGACCAGUCUCCAGGAGGCCAGUGUUGGCUGGCGCGAGUGCCCGCAGUUCUCCAUCACCACCUGCCAGCCAAUACGGGCUCCACACCACUGCCCCACAGACUGAGGAGGGAUGCGCCACAGGUGUCCAAGCAGAAACCACCACGGCUUUUGGAAUCUGGCUGGAGAUGCUGACAUUCCCAGGUCCUGUCCCGCCCCUGGCCUGAAAGACCAUUCCCAGCAUUCCCAGAGCCCUGCAGCUUCGCCCUCUCCACGCUGCUCCUCACCCGUGCAGCCCCACCUUCACCACGCUGCAACAGGGCCACAGCUGCCAAGGGGGCUAUGGGAGAGCGAAUGGGUGAGCAAGAAAGUUGGAGGAAGAGGAAGAAGGGGGAAGAGAAGGAGAGAAAAAGGGAGAAGGGAGAGGGAGGGGGAGCACAAGAUUGCCUGUGCAAGUGAGACUGCAUGAGUAUCAGAGCAAUCCAGACGGCGAGACACUGGAUCACUAGUGAAAGAAAAAGGCAACCAAGAAAGCUGGGGGGAGAGCCACUGAAGAUGAGGGAAAACCAAACAGGAAAGGGGUAAGAGAGGGCGAGCAGGAGAGCGAGAAGGGAGGUGAGGGACAAGAACGAAAGCAAGAGCCCACAGGAGCAAGAGGAGCCAGCGCAGGCGCAGCCUGCCACCUACUUCUUCUUGUCCUUGUCCUUCCUCAGGGGCUG